CGCCGAGACUCGGCGCGCCCAGCCCGCCCGCCCCCGCCCGUCUCCCCCCUUUUGGCGCCCGCCGCGGGACGACAUGGCGGCGGUGAGCAGAGCAUGUCAUCAAGCAAAAUUAAAACUAUCUUUUGCACUCACCUUCCUGGGAACUUGAACUAAGCUGAUUACUUCACUGGACUAACAUUAAGCCAGCACCAGCUGCACAAUGGAUUUGCGUUUGUUUGCUGAAGGUCAGUGACGUGCGCUGACAAGCUGAACCAGCAGAGCUGACAACAAUGGACCUUCUCGGGAAAUCAAGGCUGGGCCUGGUCUGCAGCUGCCUGGAGGAAAGGGCUGUGUUCCCUGUCUUCUAUUCCAGAAUAAAAUAAAUUAUUGAAAAUCUU